AUUGAACGCUGGCGGCAGGCCUAACACAUGCAAGUCGAACGAGUGGCGGACGGGUGAGUAAUGUCUGGGAAACUGCCUGAUGGAGGGGGAUAACUACUGGAAACGGUAGCUAAUACCGCAUACCAUCGGAUGUGCCCUGAUGGGAUUAGCUAGUAGGUGGGGUAAGGGCUCACCUAGGAGACGAUCCCUAGCUGGUCUGAGAGGAGGACCAGCAACACUGGACCUGAGACACGGUCCGGACUCCUACGGGAGGAAGCAGUGGGGAAUAUUGCACAAUGGGCGCAAGCCUGAUGCAGCCAUGCCGCGUGUAGGAAGAAGGCCUUCGGGUGGUAAAGUACUUUCAGCGGGGAGGCGUUACCCGCAGAAGAAGCACCGGCUAACUCCGUGCCAGCAGCCGCGGUAAUUC
rnacentral:rRNA from 1 species